GGGGACACAAUGCAACCUCCAAUCAACCCCCCAGUAGACCAUGUCAUAGGUCCUCAGUUGACUGCAGUUAGUAAGUGGCCAUUGAGAGUGUACUUGAUUGAACUUCCAAAGACUAAUUUGUGAGUGUAAAUGCCACAUCAGGCAAUGAAAAUUGAUGCUGGACAUGGAAGGCCUCCAGGAGUUGGGCAAGUUCCUCUCGAUUUACUAACAGCUUUCCAGGCUCUCAUGGAAGUUUGGGGAGCUGUAAGAGAAACCAGGGACCUUUGGCUGCUAGUGACAUGAAAGUUGUGAAAGUGGUGCAAGGUAUCAAAUGGUUUCAUAGGAUGCUGAAUACUUUAUUCCCAGCAGGCAGUUUGAUCUUCUCUGGAACUCAAACCACUGAAUUUCCCAAGACACUAGAGAGAAAUAAUCACAACUUUCUGAUGUACAAAUCAUUCUGGCAAUAAAUUUUCCAAAGAGCAAAGGAUCCAGGAUUCUUUUUUGCUGAAGCAAAUCUAAGUGAUGACACAGAGAAGCACCAGGACAUUUGUGUGUCUGUCAUGGAAGAGGAUUACGUUUCUACAUCUUCUGGUUCAAGGUUUUCAGGUGCAAUCAUUGCUCUCAGUUUGACUAUUUCGUCUCCACAUACAGGGGGCUAUUCAGAGACUCCUUUGGCAUCUGGCAACAUGGGUUUCAUGACCACAAAGUAAAAACGAAAUAAUGCACAUACCAAAACAUAAACACAUUGUAAAGUGCACUCAGCCUCAGAUUCCAAACUCAGCGACCCUGCAUGAUUUAACAAAGGGGGAAGCCAGACUCCUGUCCCGCGGGGGGAGAAACAAGGCCUCCAAACUGACAGCUACUAUCAUUCCAAAACAAGUCAUUGUUUAUAAAUGAAUAUUCUUUGUGAUAAAUUAUUGAAUUACAUGAAGAUUCUAUGAUUGCCUGCUGCUGCCAGAUUUGGUUUUGGUCUCAAAAGCCAGCAUGGAAUGUACUAGAGACAGACAGCAAAAUUAAAAACUGCUGUCCUUUCUCACAAAAUUCUCCAAAUUCUCAGUCUCCCCCAAACUUGUAAUAUGAGUUCUAGAUUUGGACACCCACAAGACCCUUCAGAACACUUAUAACAUAUAUGGUUUUAGAUUAGAGACACUUUGGGUCAUUCUGAGAAAAACGUAGGCACGAAUCACAGCCCAUGAUUUACUUUAUGAUAGGUAGUACUCAAAAUCGAAAAGUAAAGAGAGCCAUGGCUUUUCAUAAAUAUUCACUAUGUAGCAGGCAUUGUCCUGGCUGCUUUACACAGUUAUCUCAUUUAAUCCUCAUAGUAUCCCUAAGAGUUCAUUAUUAGACCCAUUUAGCAGGUGAAAACAACUGAUGCAUGCAAAGGUUACAUGAUUCGCCUAAGUUCACACAGCAGUAAAUUGAGAAUGCCAAUUGAGAAUGGCAGCUGGCAUUUGAUUCCAAAACUCAUACUCUUUCCUCGAUAGCACACUUGCUCCCACCACAGCUUAACAGAUAACUACAUCUGGUACUAGUAUUCAAAGAAAAAUACUGUGCCAUUUUCUAAACUCUUACAUUGACUCUUUACAUACUAUUUUUCAAAUAGGCCUAUUUUAGAAAAAAAAACACUGAAGAUGAAAAAAUUAUUAUCGUUUUUGAUUUGUCUUUUCCUUUGGAAUAGAUUUUUCCUCCUCCUCCUUCUUCUCCUGCUCCUCCUCCUCCUAUUUUUCUUCUUCCAAAUUAACUGGAAAAUGAGUUAAUUCCCUUGAAAUUAGCAGAAAUAAGAAACAACAGCACUGGCUUUUAAUCUCAGUUUUGCUCCUCAUUCACUCGGUAUAAAUCUAAAUCUCAGCUCCUCUCUUACACAAAGGGGAUGACAAAAACCAUGUUGCCUAUUUCACAGGUUGUUGCAAUAAUUAAGUGAUAUAAUAUCAGGAAAAGCAUUUUGUAACCCAUUAACCUCAAAUUCUGUAUAUAAUUAUUGUACCCUAGAAUGUUCUCUGAUAGUUCAAUGAGAAAGAAAAAAAAUUUAGGAUAAUAGUCCAGUGUUAGCCAGUGGUCUGUGGAUAAGCAGGAUCUCUGAUAAAAACAACAACAACAACUGAUUUUUAGCAGUUGCCAAUUCCCAUGGUGUAAAUACUCCCAACAAGAAGUUGGUAGCUUUGGUAGUACUAUAAGCCAAACGAACUUCUUUUCUUUAUAUUAGAGUAAAUUACCCACCCUCAGAUAUUCCUUUAUAGCAACACAAAACAGACUAAGACAUCAACCCAACAAAUCUUUCUAUUUGCUGCUUUGACCCCUGUCUGAAGAGUGAGUGACUGUCUCAUAUAAAGCUGGUAUGUUGCCCAAGGAAAAAAAAAUGUGCUCCAGGGAAAUGUCAUUACUGCAGUCAGACACUGGGUGCCAAGAACCAGAACUCAAUCCACCCACUCUUUCCUUGUUCACAGUGUAACAGUUAACAUUUGAUUUGGCUACAUAUAAUACAGACACAGUGGCUUAAACAAGAUUAUUUUUCUCUCUUAUAAGAGAAAAUGGGAAAUGGGUCAACCAGAACCAACCUACAUCAAGGACCUAGGCUUCUUUCAGUUGCCCCUUCCACUGUCGUCAUGGUCCAAAAUGUUUGCUGGCACUUUAUCCAUACCAUACGAGCUCUAGGUACUAGAAUGGAAAAAGAAAUGAAAAUAAAAGCACAUUAUCUUACUUUUAAGGAUGCUUCCUAGAAGUCCCACACAGUACGUUGCUUAUAUCUUGCUGGCUAGAAACUAAUCAGGGGCCAUACCUAGCAACAUAAGAGGCUUGAAAAUAUAGCCUUUUAUCUUAGGGCAAUGUGUCUAGCUUUCUUAGUCCAUUUUUGUGUUGCUAUAGAGGAAUACCUCCUGAGAAGGGGUAAUUUACAAAGAAAAGAGGUUUAUUUGGCACAUAGUUCUGACGUCUGGAAAAGUUCAGGAUUGGGCAUCUGCAUCUGGUGAGGGCCACAGGCUCCUUCCACUCAUGGCAGAAGGUGAAGGGGGGCUGGCCUGUGCAGAGAUCAAAUGGAGAGAGAGAAAGUAGGGGAUGGGGGAAGGUACCAGACUUCUUUUAGCAACCAGUUCUCCCAGGAACUAGUAGAGUAAGAAAUCACUCACCCCCAAUCUCCAGGGAGGGCACUAAUCUAUUCAUGGGGGAUCCAUCCCCAUGACCAAACACCUCCCAUUAGGCCCCACCUCUGACACCGGGGAUCAAAUUUCAACAUGAGGUUUGAGGGACAAACCUUCAAACUACAAAACUAGCUAUCAGGCUCUUUUAUAAGGAGGAAGGGAGAAUAGAUAUUGGGAUAAGCAACUAGCUGUCUCUGGUAUACGUUUGCUCUUGUUUAUACACUAAGUCAUCAGACGGUAAAGAAAGGAAGGAAAGAAAUGCUUUUUUUUCUUCUACCUGAAGCUCUGCAGUCUCUUCUCCCCAUUCAUCUACUCUGUGUCACAUGAGAAGUUAGCAGUCUACAGAUAAUUUAAAUUGCAUGUAUACUGAGGGCAAAAUAAAGAGGAACUACAUUUCUGGGAUGUGUGUGCAAAACAUAUUAUAACGUCCUGAUCACCAUGAUCUGGAAGAUAGCAAUAAUGAUAGAUGAUCAUUAUUAAUAUUAUGGUAGGUAGAAGUAGAUGGAAGCUCUUUUCUCUCUAGAUGCACUUGUCUAAAUGCAGCUAUAUCAGUUACCCACUUUGAUAAAAGUAAGAUAUAGGCUGGGUGCAGUGGCUCACACCUGUAAUCCCAGCACUUUGGGAGGCGGAGGUGGGUGGAUCACGAGGUCAGGAGACUGAGACCAUCCUGGCUAACACUGUGAAACUCCAUCUCUCCUAAAAAUACAAAAAAUUAGCUGGGCGUGGUGGCGGGCGCCUGUAAUCCCAGCUGCUGGGGAGGCUGAGGCAGGAGAAUGGUGUGAAUCCAGGGGGCGGAGCUUGCAGUGAGCCGAGAUCGCGCCACUGCACUCCAGCCUGGGUGACAGAGUGAGAUUCCAUCUCAAAAAAAAAAAAAAAAAAAGAAGUAAGAUAUAUAUCUGACUAUAGCUGAUACUGACAAAAAUGGGGGAGAAUCCUCCUACUUUCCAAAUAUCACCCAUCUAGACUUUUUGUGGCAUGGAAGUUGGAAAUCUGUUUAUUAUAUGAAUUCUAUUCAGAAAGUCUUGUUUAAGCAUGCAAAUGCCUGCCUCCAGCCCUAUGCCUAUAUCCUCCAUCUCUUCUUCCUAUUAGAGCUAGUAAGUAGCUACCCAGUCAUCAAGAACAUUGGUCCCCACUUCUCAAAGGAAGAAGUCUCAGCCAGCUAAGCAAGGCUCUUCAUCUCUAUUUUUUCCAAAGUAGCAUGUGUGCAGAACCAGAGACACAUUAAUCCAUAGGGAAUUUUUCCAGUGACAAAUGCAAGAGCAGCACAAACAUGCAAACAUACAUAAAAACAUAGACAGGUACCCUGCUGAGACUAAAAGUAUUUGUAGAUUGUCAAACCACAUCCAGGGAUGAGUUAUAUCCUGGCAACUCUAUUCCAUUUUAUACCACAAAAAAGUGCCAUUGGACAUAUUGGGAUAAGCAACUAGCUGUCUCUGGUAUAUGUUUGCUCUUGUUUAUAUGCUAAGAUCACUUCAUACAGCCUGGCAGGGCUAUGAGUCCUGAGGCAAUAUCAGCCUCGGGCCACUCACAUCUCUUCCCAGACUGAGCAUUUCUCACUCUAAUCACUGUUGCUCCGUGAAACACUAGCUGGGAUGACCCUGUCUGUCAGAUCCUUCUGGAUGGAGUAUUGGAAUUUUUUUUGAUAUUUCUCCUUCAAGUUAUUUAGGUACAUCACCUCUUGAUGUGUUUGAGUCUAAGAAAAACCUAUAAGCUUUCCCUGAGAGGGACAGUGGGCUACAAGGAAGCAGGCUGGAUUCCUGUUGGAGGAUCAAGGGGUACAUGGUGUGGAUUUUCCAGACGAGGCUGCAUAAUAUGGGCAGCGGAGAGUUUCAGUUCUCACUCAGAUAAAGAAGUGAAGUGGAGAAGUUGAGUAUAGCUUUUAGCCUUAACUGAUCAAUAGAUAAGAACCUUACCGCCAUAAAGAAGGGAUUUUGCUUACAUUACACACAGAGAGUAUCUUUAGACCAGGAAGUAAAUACUGCUCAGUUAAUACCAAAGAGAGAAAAUACAGUGUGUGCCACAUAAUGGCAUUCUGGUCAACAAUUGACCCCAUAUAUGACAAUGGUCCUUUAGAUUAGAAUUGAGCUGAAAAAUUCUUAUUGCCUAGUGACAUUGUAGCUAUUGUAACAUUGUAGCACAAUGCAUUACUCACACAAAUUUAUGGUGAGAAAAAUAAAUCACCAUGGAUAUAUUCCUGAAAAGAGUGAUACCUUCUCAAGGAGAGCCUCAGGAAGGUCCUUCAGAAGGGAUUCCACAGGAAGGCACUGUUGUCACAGGAGAUGACAACUCCAGGCAUGUUACUCUCCCUGAAGACUUUCCAGUGGGACAAGAUGUGGAGGUGGAAGACAAUGAUACCGAUGAUCCUGACCCUUUUUUUGCUAAGAAAUAUCCACCAGGAAUGUGCACUAUACGUGGAAAUACAAACACAAACCGGAGCUGAGAAGGGCCUGGGUCCCCUGACAUCAAGGUUUUUAUAAAGAAAAAUACACAAAGGCAGCCACGCCUCACUCUGGCUUCCUAGUAACCCCAGAAAAAAAUUCCAGAAAUGUGUUUUAAUUCUUUAGCCUGAGUGACAAAAAGGUUAAAAUGUUUCCCAAAGUCCACUUAAGAAUAAUUCCGACCUUGGGAAAAUGGAUUUUGUUAGCCCCAAAGCUUAUUAAGAUUAAUGGCAAGAGGGGCUCGUUAUUCUGCCAGAAAAAUCUACUUACAAAUCUAAGAGGGGGAUUUUAUUCUGUCCAUUUCUAAAAGCAGGGGACUUAGAGUGCCUGACAAGUACCCCCUAGGAAGAGGGUGUGCCAUAUACAGACAGCAGGGGUGCAUGACUGGGAUGCUCACUUGGAGAGGUAUUGGCUAGGCCAGGAAAAAGGGUUCCUUUAUGGGACUUCCUAUAUAGAGAGGUCACCCUGCUCUCACUUCUGAAACCUACCACCCUGGCCACACAACUAGGUUUUAUGGAGCCCAGAAAGAUAUUCAGAAACUGGAGCCUUAUUCAGCGUGUAAAAAGCUCUCAUGCCUGUUGGCCUUGUUGCUGCUCCACAACAGGGGACUGUGGCUUAUUCAAGUGCUCAGCCAUCACAAUGACCCCACCACCUCUUUCACGACAACCCCACCACCUCUUGGCCCUGCAGCCCCAGCUUCAGACACUGCUGACCAACUGACUCUUCCCAUGCCUUGAAUGGAAACUCACAGGCAGGAUCCCGGCAAUUUGCUUAUGCACCACGAAGUGCCAGGUAUCUCUGUGGGGCGGCACCCGUGGGCUGGCUGCUUUUCAGGUGCAAGAUGGAUGGCAGAAUUUUGGCAAAGUGCUCAGCCCUGGCUAUCUUGGCAAGGCAGAGCACAGAAGCCUGUUGCUGAGAGACCGGAAUUCCCAGACUCAGAGAUGACUAGACAAGGACUCUGGCUUUGAUUAUCAGCUCAUGGAAUUGGUGGAAGGCAAAUAGACAGGAAGCCUUCAGGUUUUUAAGGAAUUUGGUUCAGUCCAAGAAACCCAAGCCUGGCUGACAACAGCCUGUGAUUCUUCAAUCCCUGAGGUAAUUUCCAGGCCCCUCAAAUUUGCACCAAAAAGUAAUGGGCUUCAAAGAAGUACAGAUCCCAAAAAGGGCAUAUGUGCCAAUAUCUAUCUCAGAUGGGCUAAGAGGACAACGGACAAGGGAGACGUUUCCAGACAGCACAUCUAGGAUUUGUCAGAUUGGCUAACCAAGGAACUCACUGCAUUACCAAGGCAAGAACACUUCACUGUUCCUGUCAAGCAGGGAAAAAUACAUACAGUGAAUCAGAGACCACUGUGUACUGUUUUC
rnacentral:tRNA from 10 species